GACGAACGCUGGCGGCGUGCCUAAUACAUGCAAGUAGAACGCAGUUGCGCACGGGUGAGUAACGCGUAGGCAACUGCCUCAUAGCGGGGGAUAACUAUUGGAAACGAUAGCUAACACCGCAUACUGUGAGAUGGACCUGCGUUGUAUUAGCUAGUUGGUGAGGUACAGGCUCACCAAGGCGACGAUACAUAGCCGACCUGAGAGGGGGAACUGCCACACUGGGAUUGAGACACGGCCCAGACUCCUCGGGGAGGCAGCAGUAGGGAAACUGCGGGAAUGGACGGAAGUCUGACCGGGCAACGCCGUGUGAGUGUAGAAGGUUUUCGGGUCUUAAAGCUCUGGGGUGAGAGAAGCGGUAACUAACGAGAAAGAGACGGCUAACUACGUGCCAGCCGCCGCGGUAAUAC
rnacentral:rRNA from 1 species